rnacentral:lncRNA from 1 species
GAUUGUUUAUUUGCCUUGGCACUUCUCUGUGAACACUUGACAGAGUUUUAGGUCGAGGUGUAGGAUGUCUUGAAAGACAUAAGCAAAUAAUUAAAUAAUUAGGCUAUGUCUUUAAGCACUGGGAAAUAUUUAUUCUUUUUUUGCUUUGUUUUUAGGAAUCACCCUAGUCUUUUCUUUGAGUCUCUGCACAAACUGUAGGCUUUGCAAAGCCUGAUUCUAGAUACAUUUAGGCAUUGAAGAAACUUUUGGGUGGGAAAGAUGGAGGAAUGAGAGCAAACAAAGUAUGCUUAGAUGAGAUCCAUUUUUUUUUAUAGGCUUUUGCAAUAGAUGACUUAAGUCACAGAACAUCAGACAACAGACAAGAGCUUGCCCCACCCAUAGUGUUGUGAACAUGGAUUAUUCACUUGCCAUUUUAUUCCAAUGAACUGCAUAAGCACGAAGUGCAGAGAAGGUUCUAUCUAAUUCAUUGUUUGAGUCCUAUGAAACAGAGUACAAGCCAAAUAAAAUGAAGCCAUAGAAAAAUGAAGGUUCCCUCUUUCCUGCCCCACCCCAUCUUGUUCUCCCUCCAUAUUGUUGAGUGAAGCUAGAUUUAUCCUGGAAGCUAGAUUUAUCCUUAUUACUGUUUGUAAUUUUGUUAGCCAUUUCAGAAGAGCUGACAAAGGGCACAGGAUAUGCAGCUGGUACUUGCUGGAGGAGAGUAGGUGAGCACAGUGUGAGAAGUGUUUUCAGAGAUACUCUUACUGACCCAGCCCAGACCACACCCCCUUUUUUGGCUACAUGCCAAACACAGUAUCUCUCUGUAGGGAAGCCUGAUGAACUGAUGCCCAUGCUUUGGCACAUUGAUUCUUUGAUUAUAAAACCAAGGAGUCCUCAUCUCUGCAGGCACACACCACCUGCUUCUCAGGGUAGGCAUGCCAUUUUAGGGGAGUUUUAGAAUUUCUUUUCUUCAAAAAUGAAUACACUAGUAUGAAAAGACAUGGAAGAAAAUUACUCAUUUCCCCAUCUCACUCACAAAAGCUCUGUUUGGUGUCUUUGUUUUCUUCAUGUCUUAAUCGUCGUUUUCAGCAGCCCAUGAUUAAUGCAUAGGGGCCAUCUACACCCCAGAUUUCUACUUUUCAGAGAAGGCUGAUGCAGUCAGAGACUUAGAACUGGAACAGACCUUAAGGACUGACAGUCCAUCCUCUUAUUAUUAUUUUUUAAAUUUUUAUUUAUUUAUUUGACAGAGAGAGCACAAGCAUGGGGAAACAGCAGGCAGAGGGAGAAGUAGAGGGAGAAGCAGUCUCCCUGCCGAGCAGGAAGCCUGAUGCAGGUCUUGAUCCCAGGACCCCGGGAGCAUGACCUUAGCUGAAGGCAGACACUCAACCUACUGAGCCACCCAGGUGCCCCAGUCCAUCCUCUUUUACAGAGGGGGGGAGACUGGCCUGAGUUAUACGUGUCAUGAAUGACAGAAUCAGGACCAGGAGCUGCUCUCCUGGCUCUCAGUGCACCUUUCACAAUCACAUAACUUAAGGAGAAGGCAUUUUCUUACAAAGUUAGGUGUUUGUUUGUUUUUUUUCCAAUUUUAGGUUAUUUUUUCAUUUUAUUUAGCUGUGGUACUACUGGACUAGUAAAAUCAGUACAAUUUCACAUUUUUUUCCUAAGAAUAUUUUAUUUUAUUUUUUUAAAAAGAUUUAUUUAUUCAUGAUAGAGAGAGAGACAGAGAGAGAGAGAGAGAGAGAGGCAGAGACACAGGCAAAGAAGCAGGCCUCAUGCUGGGAGCCCGACUCAGGACUCGAUCCUGGGACUCCAGGAUCACGCCCUGAGCCAAAGGCAGGCGCUAAACCUCUGAGCCACCCAGGGAUCCCCUCCUAAGAAUAUUUUAGACUAGGUUGGAAAAUCCUUAAAAAGAAAAUUAAAUUUUUUCUUAGGGGAGUAGUGUGUUCUUUGUGGGUCAUGUGAUGAGAUCUCAAAUACAUGAUUAUUAGUUUUCCAAUCCUGCCUUGCUGAGAAUGUGGACUACUCUAAUUAGUAAAGUAAUCAUUAUUCAAAUAAGGCAAACAGAUAUCACAAUAACACUGAGAAGUUUCUUCCCAUUUGGGUAGUUUUUUUUUUCUGUUUUUUUUCAAAGAUUUUAUAUUUAAGUACUCUCUACAUCCAACAUGGGGCUUGAACUCACAACCCUGAGAUCAAGUGUCACGUGCUCCACUGACUGAGCUAGCCAGGCACCUCUGGGUAGUUUUCUGAGUCAUAUUAAUGUUGUUUCUUUAUGUAGGCCCUAUUCACAGUGACUAUUUAAAACCAUUUAAGAGAUGUUUCAGCUUAACUUACUCUCUUUAGAUUACUGCUAGACCUGAAAGAGAUUUUCAAAAAAUAGUUGUUGAUUGAAUGAUAGAAUAUACAGAACAUUAUAGUGCCUGCUUAUGAGUAUAUUAAGAUUUAAAAGGUAACACAAUGUUAUGCUCUUCCAUAAUUAUAUUAGAAUACCCAUCUGUUAAUUACUCGGUCUCGUUUUAGUCAGAGUGAGAUUCAUAUAUUUGUUUGAAAUCAAGAUAAAUAUGAAUACAUGUCACAUGUAAUUCAUCUAUACAAAUGCUGUUUUUAAAAGCAAUAAACACAUCAUUAGAUUGGGUGUUGUUUAAUUACAUUUUUUAGAAAUCUUGACUACAAUACAGAGGACCUCUGAUUCUAUCCUUAAUGUGUAAUAAUCAGUUUCUCCUGAUCUAGUGAGAGCAUCUUUUCAUUCUAGACAUUAAACUAUAGUGAUAUAUUGGAAGAAAUUAGUUCUGGUGGCUUUGAGUGGUUUCAGCAAGAAUAAUUGGGACACUGUUCCAAAGAGCCUGCACUCUCUAGCUCAGAAACAAAUGGCUGCAUGUGUGACAUUUCUAAAUGGUGACAUCUUCAAGGAACCCUCUGGCUGAUUUCUUAUUUUAAGUUUCAGGUUAUAUUGGGAAAAAAGAAAACAGAAAAGAGAAGUUGGGUGUUAAUAUUUCUAAUAUGAAGAGACAAAGACUUCAAAUAAAGAUAUCACUUACUUUAAACAGAUCUAAGAGGAAAUGCAAAAAUAAUGGUCAAGGAAACCCCAAUACAGUGAAUAGCUGCUGUCCUUGUUGUAAAUUCCACUUUUUAAGGUCUUGGAUGCCUUUAACUGGUUCCAUUUAGGGAGAAAGCACAAGCGAAUAUCUCUUGCUGUAAACAAAGCAACAGAUUUAAGUUAAUGCUAAUGUGUUCACAGCCAGAGCCAAAAGCUUUUCAGGGUUAUUAUAACACACUGGGCUCUUAGCCCAUCCAUCUAAAUGUCUAAAGUAGACUAAAGUUAUGGAUCAGCCCAUUGUAUACACCAUCCCACAUGAGAGCCAGAUGCUACUGUUUACUGUGCUAGUAACUUUGCCAGCUUCAAUGUGAAAUCUGAGAUUACUGUUUGGGGUCAAUGGAAGUUAUAGAUUGAUUUCUUUGAUCAUGAAUUUAAGCUCCUACACUCCAGUCUGUUUUGAUUAAUUCUGAUUUUUUAGAACAAUCUCUUAAACUUAAUUUACACCCAACUGUCUAAACUGUUUAGAUGGAGGGCUUCCUCAUGAAAACUGUGUUUAUUUAUUAUCUUUUGGGUCUUUGGGUUUGAUGUAAGUCUUCAGGAUAUUUUUUUCCUUUAUCUUGAGCAUGGAAAAGAAGUCAUGAAGUUCUGUUGCACAACACCAUACUUGAAAAUAUCAAUCACCACAACACAACUUUUGAGAAGAUUUGGUAGAAAAAUAUGUAUGUGGAAAAUGAUUUAGGAAAAGAUUAUCCACUGUCCUCUGUCAAAAAGAACAUUCCAUCAUUUAAGACCUAGGGGUUAAAUUGGGUUUAACCCAAUUGGGUUUUAUUGACAUUGUUAGAUCUUUGUUCCUUAGUUUUGGGUUGGGUUUUAUUGGGUUUUAUUGACAUUGUUAGAUCUUUGUUCCUUAGUUUUAAUCUUAAUUUGAUUUGUGCCUUUUGUAUGAGAUUAAGCUGGUUUUUGAGGAAGUAUCAAAAGUAAUAAUAAUAACAACAAUAACAACUGGCAUAUGCUGAGCACUUCCCAUAUGCUAGACCCUUAAUAACAUUCUAUUUAUUUACGGACAUUUCACAGAUGGUAAGGUGAACUUGCACUAAAGCUCAUGACUUGUCAGCUCAGAUUCCAACCAGGUCUUCCUAAGUCUAAAGCUCUAUCUAUAACUUAUGCUAUUGUUUCAAGUAUAGAUUUCUAUAGAGUUGUGCACACAAACAUAAAGGUUGUGACAAAGACCUUUUUAUCUAUAACACACAGAUUUGGGGAGGGGUGUGUUGACUUAUAGCUAAGGAGAGAAUGCCUUUAUUUUUGAUAAGAUUUCAUUGUGUCAAUAAAUUGUGGUGUGAUAUGGUUAAAAGAAAUGGCAAAUGCUUAGGAGUAAUAAUUGCCUGCUUGUUAGUUCUGCUAUAAGUACCUAGAAGACAGUCCCCACAGCAAGUUCCCAAUGAAAAUAUCAUAAUUCAACAAAAAUUUGUAGUACAGGACCUUAUUCUUAGAAGCACAGUUCUUUUAACUAUCCAAAACAUGGUAGCUUUGUAGUCAGUUUAACUUGCAGUGAAAUAAUUAUAAGAGACAAAGACUUCAAAUAAAGAUAUCACUUACUUUAAACAGAUCUAAGAGGAAAUGCAAAAAUAAUGGUCAAGGAAACCCCAAUACAGUGAAUAGCUGCUGUCUGGAUUUCCUAAAAGUAAUCAGUAUAACUUAAUGCCCUAAUAAAAAUAUUUCACAGAACACUUUGAUUAGAAGUCUGAAAAAGCACAGUAUCAUAUUUAUUAUGUUUUCCUCCUUUUGCACAUCAGUUCAUGUUCCCUAACUUGAGUAGUUAAUUGUCCACUUACCUUAGACUUCUUCUAUUUGUUUUAAGAUUUUAUUUAUUUAUUUGAGAGAAAGAGCAUGCAUGAGCAGGGGGUAGGGCAGAGGGUGUAGCAGACUCCCCAAGGGGCAGGGAGUCCCACUCAGGACUCAAUCCAAGGACCCCAGGAUCAUGACUUGAGUCAAAAACAGACAUGCCCAACUGACUGAGCCACCCAGGCUCCCACCUUAGACUUCUUUAAUGCUCCUUGAGAGAAGGGCUGUUUUAUCACCUUUGUCUUCCUAGAAAUGAGCACAGGGAUUGGUGUAGGAUGUUCUUUAUUCUCAAAAUUGCCAUCUGCCAUGAGGCCCACCUCCUUAAAGGUGUAAGUUUAGUGGUUGAAGCUCAAAGUAGGAUUUCUUUGACAUUUGAAGAGAACAUAUUGUGGAAAAACAGAACAAAAACCAGAAAACAAAAUGUAAAUAAUCCAAACUGACUUGCUUGUGUCUUGUUUUUUAGCAAAGCAGUUUCACAGAUCCUUUUAUGCUAAUCAGACUAUCCAUUGUUGUGGUUUUUGUUUGUGAUACUUAAAAGUAUACCCUUGAAUGUAGUAUUCAAGUGCUAAUGAAAAAAAUAGGUUCCAAAAGUUUCACAUGAUUAGAUCUUUUCUCAUCUUGGUGUUGGAAUAUCAAUGUCUUAAUUCAUAAUUUUUCCUUAUAUCUUAAUAUUAUUGGGGUUCAAAAAUUUUUAUUUAUUUUUAAAAAUUUAAAAAAGAUUUUAUUUAUUUGAGAGAGAGAGAGAGAGAGAAAGAAAGAGAGUACACAGUGGGAAAGGGGGAAGGAGAAGCAGAUUCCCCUCUGAGCAGGGCUCCAUCCCAUGAUCCUGGAGACCAUGACCUGAACCAAAGGCAGAUGCUUAACCGACUGAACCACCAUGGAACCCCUAUCAUUGGGUUUUAUAAUAAUGGAAACAUUAAACCAUCCCUAAUGAAGAAUAAAGGUGUGUUGAGAGUAGAUUUUGCAUCAUUUUACAGUCAUACGAUUAUUUUGUUUUACUCAGAAAGGACUAUUGUUCCUUCACAUUGUACAUUUUAUGCUUAUGAAAACUUUGUUGAUAUCCAUAUAUAAAAAAUAUUCUUUCUAGUUGUAAAGUUACUUGUAGAAUAAUACUGCAGAAUUUUAAACACCUCAUUCUGGUAUUGUAUGGCAUUCACUUUCAGAAUAAAUGGAAUUCUGUAAGAACAUUUGGCUCAGAUGUUACUAAAAAUAAUUGUUGCUCUAAAAUCUCACACAGGGAAUAACAUUCCAUGGUUUUCUACUUGUUAUGCAUUUUUGCUUUGUUUCCA